UGAGUAACACGUAUCCAACCUGCCGUCUACUCUUGGACAGCCUUCUGAAAGGAAGAUUAAUACAAGAUGGCAUCAUGAGUCCGCAUGUUCACAUGAUUAAAGGUAUUCCGGUAGACGAUGGGGAUGCGUUCCAUUAGGCAGUUGGUGAGGUAACGGCUCACCAAACCUUCGAUGGAUAGGGGUUCUGAGAGGAAGGUCCCCCACAUUGGAACUGAGACACGGUCCAA
rnacentral:rRNA from 1 species